ensembl:lncRNA
GAGGAUUUUCAUUGACCCAUCGGUCAAAAGUGUGUCGGCCAACUAGACAAAUGCUCUUCUAUGCCCUGCUCUUGUGAAGGACAUUCAGUUUGUGGCAGAUCUGUGUUUCUCACAGAUGUUUGGCCAUCAUUAGAGGUUAACACCAUCAGAGCUCUGCUGCUGUUGUGCCCACAUUCUCACCAAAACACUUCCCCUUCAGUUCUCAGGAAAAAAAAGAGCAUCUGUGUUAAGUUGGUGUGUUAUGUCAUUGCGUGUAUGUGUUUCCUGUUUUAUUGUGAAGGUCUGCGUCUUAUGUGAGUGUUUCAGUUUGUCUCCCUACUCUCGUCACGUGAUCACUCCCAGCUGUGUUCCCACCUGUAUGUAA